rnacentral:rRNA from 1 species
UACGUAGGGUGCGAGCGUUGUCCGGAAUUAUUGGGCGUAAAGAGCUCGUAGGCGGUGUGUCACGUCGGCCGUGAAAACCUGGGGCUUAACUCUGGGCGUGCGGUCGAUACGGGCAUCACUAGAGUUCGGCAGGGAGACUGGAAUUCCUGGUGUAGCGGUGAAAUGCGCAGAUAUCAGGAGGAACACCGGUGGCGAAGGCGGGUCUCUGGGCCGAUACUGACGCUGAGGAGCGAAAGCAUGGGUAGCGAACAGG